GCGAAAGCUAGUGGUAGCGAACGUGGAUUAGAAACCCCGGUAGUCCUAGCAGUAACACGAUGGAUAUUAGGUGUACGAGGUUAAAACUCUUUAUGUGCCGGAGCUAACGCAGUUAAGUAUCCCGCACUGGGGAGUACGGUCGCAAGGCUAAAACUCAAAGGAAUUGACGGGGGCCCGCACAAGCAGCGGAGUGUGUGGUUUAAUUCGAUGCAACGCGAAGAACCUUACCAGGUCUUGACAUGUAGGUAGUAGUGAAGCGAAAGCGGAACGAUCCUUCGGGAAGCCUACACAGGUGCAGCAUGGCUGUCGUCAGCUCGUGCCGUGAGGUGUUAGGUUAAGUCCUGUAACGAGCGCAACCCCUGCCGUUAGUUACAAGUGUCUAACGGGUCUGCCUGGCAAAACUGGGAGGAAGGUGGGGAUGACGUCAAGUCAGUAUGGCCUUUAUGUCCUGGUCUACACACACGCUACAAUGGCCGGUACAAUGGGUUGCCAAGCCGCGAGGCGGAGCCAAUCCUCUAAAGCCGGUCUCAGUUCGAAUUGUAGGCUGCAACCCGCCUGCAUGAAGUUGGAGUUGCUAGUAACCGCAGGUCAGCCACAUUGUGGUGAAUACGUUCCCGGGCCUUGUACACACCGCCCGUCACGUCAUGGAAGCUGGUAACACCUGCAGCCGGUGAGCUAUCCGCAAGGAAGCACCCGUCGAAGCUGGGACUGCAGACUUCGACGAAGUCCUA
rnacentral:rRNA from 1 species